AUACGAAAGGUGCAAGCGUUGUUCGGAUUUACUGGGCGUAAAGAGAGUGUAGGUUGUUUAUUAAGUCGGAUGUGAAAUCCCGGGGCUCAACCCCGGAACUGCAUUCGAUACUGAUAGGCUAGAGUUCGAGAGGGGUAAGCGGAAUUCCGUGUGUAGCAGUGAAAUGCGUAGAUAUACGGAGGAACACCUGAGGCGAAGGCGGCUUACUGGACCGAUACUGACACUGAGACUCGAGAGCGUGGGUAGCAAACAGAAGUAGAAACCCCGGUAGUCC
rnacentral:rRNA from 1 species